ensembl:lncRNA
GUAAAAUUUCAUUAAAAAUCUCUACUGAACACCUUGAGAGUUCACUAAGAACUGCAACCACUGCCAUCAAACCAGCCUGAUGCAUUCAUUUCACAAAAACAGGGUCAAAUAUCCCACUAGUUUUUGGUUUUGUCCCUCUUUUUUUUUUUUUUUUUUUUUUUUUUAAGAAAAACAUUAAAAAUAAAAAUAUUUUGUUACUUAUGUAUUAACAAUAUUGUAUAUUUUAUGUGGGCUGCUCCAAAAGUGAUGCCUCCUAUUUUAUGAUGUCUCACAACAUCAGAGGCAGAUGUUGGGGGGUAUGGCAGUAGGGUUUGAACCUUCCCAUCAAUGUUGUUACGUUUUGUUGCCAUGUGAGAGAUGACAGUAGAGGGGCAGUCUAACAAAAUGGCAUCUCACAUGCAAUUGCAGAUGAAGCUAAGAGGUGUCACUGAAUUCCUCCAAGAAGGAAAAAUGGCACCCACUGACAUUCAUUGAUGCUUGCUGAAUGUUUAUGGAGAAUAAAUGGUGGAUGUAAGUACAAUGAGGCUCUGGGUGGUGCAUUUCAGCAGUGGUAACUGUGGGUCACCUUUGCUGGUACAGAUUUUUAUGAUCAUAUCAUGCAGGUUCUGAUUCAUUGCUGGUGAAAAUGAAUGUCUAAUGGUAGUGGUUGUGUCGAAAAAUAAUGUUCUAUAGCUGAAAAUUUGCUCUGUCGAAUAAUAUUAUUGUGCUCUUUGUAUCUGUUGCAGUUCCCAUGGAAAUAAAUAGGAGGCAUUACUUUCAGAGCAACUUAUGUAUAUGCUGCCCAAGAUAAUUCCUCUCUAUGCAACAUGGCCCAGGCAAGCCAAAAACUUGUUUUUCACUGAAUGAUGGCACAAAGGAUUUACCAGCUCCAAAGGGAAGGUCAUUCAGGAGUGUGACGCAGGGAAAAAAUUCAAGUCAGUAAGUCAAAACACAGUCAUCAUGCAAAUUCAUCGCAGUAUGAAGUUCCCCUUGUCAUUGGAGGAAAAAAACACUAUAGUCUUCCCCCUCCUCAAGUUUUGUUUCCACAUAAAGCAAAGAAGAGUGACCUCAGCUCUGCACAGUUGGCGACAAAGUCUGCGUCUGCAGGAAACUUCACAACAGACUUCCAGUUUACACUGGUCUGCAGCAUCCCUGUCCCAUGCUGAUCACCCGGGCACAGAGAGAAACCAAACUUUGGAUCCAGAAGAAGAGAUCAGAAGUUACCAGGAAAUCAAACCACCCCUCAGCUCCCCUUCUGCAAAAACAAGCUAUGUGACAAAGAAAUCCUUCUCACUGACUUCAGGUGACCAGCAGAAGCCCUGAAGCAAUGGGAAAGCAAUGAUGGUACUGACAGCACAGAUGGUCCCAGAGCAGGCUUGGGUCCAGCUACAGGCUGAGCAGCACAAAGCCAAUUCUGUGAGCGCAGCUUGAAAAUGCUUGUGGUAAACUUAAUGAGAGGCUUUUCUUGAUGAAAAUUGGCAGCUGUUGACAAGUUCAGUGGUUUUGAAGGGUUUCAUUAUGAGAGAAUAUGCAAACAGCCUUAACAAGGUUCUGCUCAGCUUUUAUAUGCCUCUGUCUGCACAACAGCCUUGAUUAGAUAACCACAAUAAUAGCUAUUUCUCUUCAAAGGUGUACUUCUCAGCUAGCUGUGCAACAGUGCAGGAUAAUUAGGGUGAAGAAUCAGUCCUUCUGAAACUGGGACAGACAGAUAGCUGUCUGUUUACUCUCACGCUGCUAAAAUCCUUUUGGAAAUUUGGUGCCAGGUUUGUGGGUUUAUUAGUUUUGUUUGGACAUUAUUAUUAUUUUUAAAGGCAUUAAAAUAUAGCAGUGAGAUCACAAUCUUGGAGUCCUGCUCAUUUCAAAGAAUCCAUUGACUUAAUAACCUCUAACAGAGACAAAAGUAUCUUAACACACUUCAUUUUAGCCAAAGUGAAAGAGCAGCUAAAAAAAGUGACAGAUAUUAUAUUCCUAAAAUUGGGCAUUGAGUCAUUUGGACAAACUGUGAGACUCUUGUCUCACUCCCUGGCAAUCAGAAGACAAAAUGUCAGCUAUUUUCUGUUAAAAAAAAAAAAAAAAGGACAACAGACUAGAUGCUAAUUCUGGACUGCUAUAGCUCUCCAGGGAUUGUCCUGCUGCAGAUGACUCACAUGACAGAUGUAUUUUAUCAAUACAGAUUCCAAGUUCAUCUUUUGGCAGUGUGUUUUCAAGGACCAUAGUCAAAAUCAUACACUGACUUUUUUUCCAAGUGUAUAAUGUGUCUGCAGUGCCCUUGGAUUAACGUGUCUGUGCUCUACAGCAGAGUUUCAAAACCAUCUAAGCAAAGGUCUUGGACAGUUCUCUUCACUUUUACUGAACAAAACACAAAUUUGGCUUAUUGCAAUUCUCCUCUGGUACAAAAUGAACAAUAAAGAUUAGAC